CCUACGGGAGGCAGCAGUGGGGAAUAUUGCACAAUGGGGGAAACCCUGAUGCAGCAACGCCGCGUGAAGGAAGACGGUUUUCUGAUUGUAAACUUCUGUUCUUAGUGAAGAAUAAUUACGGUAGCUAAGGUGCAAGCCACUGCUAACUACGUGCCAGCCGCCGCGGUAAUACGUAGGUGGCAAGCGUUGUCCGGAUUUACUGGGUGUAAAGGGAGCGCAGGCGGGAAGCUAAGUCAGCUGUGAAAACUACGGGCUUAACUUGUAGACUGCAGUUGAAACUGGUUUUCUUGAGUGAAGUAGAGGUUGGCGGAAUUCCGGGUGUAGCGGUGAAAUGCGUAGAGAUUCGGAGGAACACCGGUGGCGAAGGCGAGCAACUGGGGUUUAACUGACGCUGAGGCUCGAAAGUGUGGGGAGCAAACAGGAUUAGAUACCCCUGUAGUC
rnacentral:rRNA from 1 species